UACGGAGGGUGCAAGCGUUAUCCGGAUUCACUGGGUUUAAAGGGUGCGUAGGCGGGUUGGUAAGUCCGUGGUGAAAUCUCCAAGCUUAACUUGGAAACUGCCGUGGAUACUAUCAAUCUUGAAUAUAGUGGAGGUGAGCGGAAUAUGUCAUGUAGCGGUGAAAUGCUUAGAUAUGACAUAGAACACCCAAGGUGAAGGCAGCUCGCUGGACUAUUACUGACGCUGAGGCACGAAAGCGUGGGGAUCAAACAGG
rnacentral:rRNA from 1 species